UACGAAGGGGGCUAGCGUUGCUCGGAAUUACUGGGCGUAAAGCGCACGUAGGCGGCUCUUUAAGUCGGGUGUGAAAUCCUGGAGCUCAACUCCAGAACUGCCUUCGAUACUGAAGAGCUUGAGUCCGGGAGAGGUGAGUGGAACUGCGAGUGUAGAGGUGAAAUUCGUAGAUAUUCGCAAGAACACCAGUGGCGAAGGCGGCUCACUGGCCCGGUACUGACGAUGAGGUGCGAAAGCGUGGGGAGCAAACAGG
rnacentral:rRNA from 1 species